AUUGAACGCUGGCGGCAGGCCUAACACAUGCAAGUCGAACGGUAGCACAGAGAGCUUGCUCUCGGGUGACGAGUGGCGGACGGGUGAGUAAUGUCUGGGAAACUGCCUGAUGGAGGGGGAUAACUACUGGAAACGGUAGCUAAUACCGCAUAAUGUCGCAAGACCAAAGAGGGGGACCUUCGGGCCUCUUGCCAUCAGAUGUGCCCAGAUGGGAUUAGCUAGUAGGUGGGGUAACGGCUCACCUAGGCGACGAUCCCUAGCUGGUCUGAGAGGAUGACCAGCCACACUGGAACUGAGACACGGUCCAGACUCCUACGGGAGGCAGCAGUGGGGAAUAUUGCACAAUGGGCGCAAGCCUGAUGCAGCCAUGCCGCGUGUAUGAAGAAGGCCUUCGGGUUGUAAAGUACUUUCAGCGGGGAGGAAGGUGUUGUGGUUAAUAACCACAGCAAUUGACGUUACCCGCAGAAGAAGCACCGGCUAACUCCGUGCCAGCAGCCGCGGUAAUACGGAGGGUGCAAGCGUUAAUCGGAAUUACUGGGCGUAAAGCGCACGCAGGCGGUCUGUCAAGUCGGAUGUGAAAUCCCCGGGCUCAACCUGGGAACUGCAUUCGAAACUGGCAGGCUAGAGUCUUGUAGAGGGGGGUAGAAUUCCAGGUGUAGCGGUGAAAUGCGUAGAGAUCUGGAGGAAUACCGGUGGCGAAGGCGGCCCCCUGGACAAAGACUGACGCUCAGGUGCGAAAGCGUGGGGAGCAAACAGGAUUAGAUACCCUGGUAGUCCACGCCGUAAACGAUGUCGAUUUGGAGGUUGUGCCCUUGAGGCGUGGCUUCCGGAGCUAACGCGUUAAAUCGACCGCCUGGGGAGUACGGCCGCAAGGUUAAAACUCAAAUGAAUUGACGGGGGCCCGCACAAGCGGUGGAGCAUGUGGUUUAAUUCGAUGCAACGCGAAGAACCUUACCUGGUCUUGACAUCCACAGAACUUUCCAGAGAUGGAUUGGUGCCUUCGGGAACUGUGAGACAGGUGCUGCAUGGCUGUCGUCAGCUCGUGUUGUGAAAUGUUGGGUUAAGUCCCGCAACGAGCGCAACCCUUAUCCUUUGUUGCCAGCGGUUAGGCCGGGAACUCAAAGGAGACUGCCAGUGAUAAACUGGAGGAAGGUGGGGAUGACGUCAAGUCAUCAUGGCCCUUACGACCAGGGCUACACACGUGCUACAAUGGCGCAUACAAAGAGAAGCGACCUCGCGAGAGCAAGCGGACCUCAUAAAGUGCGUCGUAGUCCGGAUUGGAGUCUGCAACUCGACUCCAUGAAGUCGGAAUCGCUAGUAAUCGUAGAUCAGAAUGCUACGGUGAAUACGUUCCCGGGCCUUGUACACACCGCCCGUCACACCAUGGGAGUGGGUUGCAAAAGAAGUAGGUAGCUUAACCUUCGGGAGGGCGCUUACCACUUUGUGAUUCAUGACUGGGGUG
rnacentral:rRNA from 1 species